rnacentral:lncRNA from 1 species
GCGGAGGCGUUGGCAGUUGACUUUUGCUGAUGGAGCCUCUCUGAAGGGCAAAUUCAAAGUACAGCUGGGUGCUGCAGCACUGGAGUGCGAACUUGUGGCUGUGGUUAUGAAGGAGCCUCGUCAGCUAUGCCUUUAGCCCCUGGUGAAGCAGUGCCAGUCACACUUUGCCAGUCAAACGGAGAGGCAGCAGUAGUAAGACCAGACCAAAUCAAACCAAACCAAGCAAACCACGGGGAAUGGAGGAUAUAUUUGGCAUUAAACUCGGGACA